CCGGCACCAGGGGUCAGCUCUUCCCCGGCGCAGCGCAGGUCCCCUACUCAGCGGCGCCGCCCGAGCCGCCACCGCCAGCGGGAAGCGGAUCCCGCGCGCCACUCGACAAGAGCGCCCGCCCCGUCGCACUCUGCGCGCCGUCGGGAGCCCUGGGGCGCCCCGGCCCGUGUCCCUUUUUCUCCCGAAGUUUUCGGGGACUUCCUUCGCCGCCACCGGGCCACCUUCUCCCAUCAACUCGGUCUCUCAAGGGACCCGCGACGCUAGAGCUUGACCUCUCACGUUUGGCCGGUUCAGAAAUGACUACACGCGGAGGGAAGUGAUAACACCGAGCCCGGCGAACCCACGUGUUGUGCGACUGGAAACUUAAAACAGCCAGGGGGAGGAGGUCGCACGGAGAAGACGCAGUUCGAGUCUGGCUCUUGGAAGUCUUCGGUACACAGAGGGCCCGGAGCUUAAAGCUCAUUAGCUUCACAUGCAAACUGCUGCUGCAGCCCUCCUAGGAUUGUUGUGAGGAUUCACGAGGUGAGCCCUGAGAGCCCUGCCCCGUGCCUGGCUCGCACCAAAGGCGCUGUGUAGAGGAUUCAGGUCCCUGGGACCGGUCGGAGGGACCCGGGAAAUGCAGAAAUCACAUUGACUGCAACUAUGGGCCAGGUGUUUGAAACGCCCAGUGUGCUUAAUUUACCCACAAACAUGUGCACGUAUGCGAGAGCAUUCUGCCCGUGUCAUAGCUCCAAAAAAUAAGGCUCGGAGAAGUCGUGUAACUUGCUCAGUCUCACAAAAUUCUGCCAUAUUACAAUUCUGCCAUAUUACAGGUUUUUCCACAGUUACAUGUCACAAAUAAUAUGUAAAUUAUUACUAUGACUUCUUGUUGGGACAACAGAAGAAAUUCCCCACGAGAGAACAAAGUGCCUCAGAAAAACCUACUCACGAAUUUUCCCUGCAAAACUUCCCCACUUCAGAACCAAAGCAAAUGAAAUGUUUUUCUGCAGGUGAAGUACCUUGCUGCAAAAUCAAGAAACGGCUUUACUCAAGUGUAUGCAGGUCAUACAUUCAUUUUCUCUGCUAGCACGGCAAGUUAAAUUGUAAAAGGGUACAAGAGGAGAGUAGAAGCAAAGAAGCCAGACACAGUGGCUCACACCUGUCAUCCCUGCACCUUGGUAGGCUGAGGUAGGAGGAGCCAAAGUUUGAGCAUGGGCAAUUUAGUGAGACCCUGAAUCAAGAUUUUUAAAGGGGACAGGGAAC
rnacentral:lncRNA from 1 species